rnacentral:rRNA from 1 species
GGGUUGUGAGGUUAAGCGAAUAAGCGUACACGGUGGAUGCCUAGGCAAUCAGAGGCGAUGAAGGACGUGCUAAUCUGCGAAAAGCGUCGGUAAGGUGAUAUGAACCGCUAUACCCGACGAUAUCCGAAUGGGGAAACCCAGUAUCCAAUGGAUACUAUCAUUAACUGAAUCCAUAGGUUAAUGAGGCGAACCGGGAGAACUGAAACAUCUCAGUACCCCGAGGAAAAGAAAUCAACCGAGAUUCCCCUAGUAGCGGCGAGCGAACGGGGAGCAGCCCAGAGUCUUAAUCAAUAGCAGUGUCAGGAGAACGGUCUGGAAAGUCCGGCAGUAAAGGGUGAUAGCCCCGUAUCUGAAGAUGCUGUUAUUGUGAACUCGACGAGUAGGGCGGGACACGUGUUAUCCUGUCUGAAUAUGGGGGGACCAUCCUCCAAGGCUAAAUACUCCUGAUUGACCGAUAGUGAACCAGUACCGUGAGGGAAAGGCGAAAAGAACCCCGGCGAGGGGAGUGAAAAAGAACCUGAAACCGUGUACGUACAAGCAGUAGGAGCCUCUUUAUGGGGUGACUGCGUACCUUUUGUAUAAUGGGUCAGCGACUUAUAUUCUGUAGCAAGGUUAACCGUAUAGGGGAGCCGUAGGGAAACCGAGUCUUAACUAGGCGAAUGAGUUGCAGGGUAUAGACCCGAAACCCGGUGAUCUAUCCAUGGGCAGGUUGAAGGUUGGGUAACACUAACUGGAGGACCGAACCGACUAAUGUUGAAAAAUUAGCGGAUGACUUGUGGAUGGGGGUGAAAGGCCAAUCAAACCGGGAGAUAGCUGGUUCUCCCCGAAAGCUAUUUAGGUAGCGCCUCGUGAACUCAUCUUCGGGGGUAGAGCACUGUUUCGACUAGGGGGUCAUCCCGACUUACCAACUCGAUGCAAACUGCGAAUACCGAAGAAUGUUAUCACGGGAGACACACGGCGGGUGCUAACGUCCGUCGUGAAGAGGGAAACAACCCAGACCGCCAGCUAAGGUCCCAAAGUCAUGGUUAAGUGGGAAACGAAGUGGGAAGGCUCAGACAGCCAGGAUGUUGGCUUAGAAGCAGCCAUCAUUUAAAGAAAGCGUAAUAGCUCACUGGUCGAGUCGGCCCGCGCGGAAGAUGUAACGGGGCUAAACCAUGCACCGAAGCUGCGGCAGCGACACAAAGUGUUGUUGGGUAGGGGAGCGUUCUGUAAGCCUGCGAAGGUGUACUGUGAGGUAUGCUGGAGGUAUCAGAAGUGCGAAUGCUGACAUAAGUAACGAUAAUGCGGGUGAAAAACCCGCACGCCGGAAGACCAAGGGUUCCUGUCCAACGUUAAUCGGGGCAGGGUGAGUCGACCCCUAAGGCGAGGCUGAAAAGCGUAGUCGAUGGGAAACGGGUUAAUAUUCCCGUACUGGUGGUAACUGCGAUGGGGGAACGGAGAAGGCUAGGUUGUCCGGGCGACGGUCGUCCCGGUUCAAGCAGGUAGGCAGAGUGAUUAGGCAAAUCCGGUCACUUAAUGCUGAGAUGUGAUGACGAACCACCAAGGUGGUGAAGCAAUUGAUGCCCCGCUUCCAGGAAAAGCCUCUAAGCUUCAGGUUACCAACAAUCGUACCCCAAACCGACACAGGUGGUCAGGUAGAGAAUACUCAGGCGCUUGAGAGAACUCGGGUGAAGGAACUAGGCAAAAUGGUGCCGUAACUUCGGGAGAAGGCACGCUGGCGGUAGGUAAAGUCCCUCGCGGACGGCGCUGAAGCCAGUCGAAGAUACCAGCUGGCUGCAACUGUUUAUUAAAAACACAGCACUGUGCAAACACGAAAGUGGACGUAUACGGUGUGACGCCUGCCCGGUGCUGGAAGGUUAAUUGAUGGGGUCAGCCGCAAGGCGAAGCUCCUGAUCGAAGCCCCAGUAAACGGCGGCCGUAACUAUAACGGUCCUAAGGUAGCGAAAUUCCUUGUCGGGUAAGUUCCGACCUGCACGAAUGGCGUAAUGAUGGCCAGGCUGUCUCCACCCGAGACUCAGUGAAAUUGAACUCGCUGUGAAGAUGCAGUGUACCCGCGGCAAGACGGAAAGACCCCGUGAACCUUUACUAUAGCUUGACACUGAACAUUGAGCCUUGAUGUGUAGGAUAGGUGGGAGGCUUUGAAGUGUGGACGCCAGUCUGCAUGGAGCCAACCUUGAAAUACCACCCUUUAACGUUUGAUGUUCUAACCUAGGCCCAUAAACUGGGUCGGGGACCGUGUCUGGUGGGUAGUUUGACUGGGGCGGUCUCCUCCUAAAGAGUAACGGAGGAGCACGAAGGUUGGCUAAGCAUGGUCGGACAUCAUGCGGUUAGUGCAAAGGCAUAAGCCAGCUUGACUGCGAGAGUGACGGCUCGAGCAGGUACGAAAGUAGGUCUUAGUGAUCCGGUGGUUCUGAAUGGAAGGGCCAUCGCUCAACGGAUAAAAGGUACUCCGGGGAUAACAGGCUGAUACCGCCCAAGAGUUCAUAUCGACGGCGGUGUUUGGCACCUCGAUGUCGGCUCAUCACAUCCUGGGGCUGAAGUAGGUCCCAAGGGUAUGGCUGUUCGCCAUUUAAAGUGGUACGCGAGCUGGGUUUAGAACGUCGUGAGACAGUUCGGUCCCUAUCUGCCGUGGGCGUUGGAAGAUUGAGAGGGGUUGCUCCUAGUACGAGAGGACCGGAGUGAACGCACCACUGGUGUUCGGGUUGUCAUGCCAAUGGCAUUGCCCGGUAGCUAAGUGCGGAAGAGAUAACCGCUGAAAGCAUCUAAGCGGGAAACUUGCCUCGAGAUGAGUCUUCCCUGUCGCUUUAAGCGACCUAAAGGAACGUUUAAGACUAAGACGUUGAUAGGCUGGGUGUGUAAGCGUAGCGAUACGUUGAGCUAACCAGUACUAAUGAACCGUGAGGCUUAACCUGACAACACCGAAGGUGUUU